UAUUUAUGCCUAUAUCUAUGUAUACAUAAAAAUAUGAAAUAUAAAAUAUAAAAAGUAUAUUUAUAAUAAAUGAAAAGUAUGUACGUAAAUAUAUAUUAUAAAAUGUAUCAACAAUUUGAAAUUAUGAAUAUUAAAAUAUUUUAAUAUAAUAAUAUAUAAGAUGAUGACAUAUAAAUUUAAACCAAAUAAAUAAAUAAAUAAAAUAAAAACUUGAGAUAAAUACUAGUUAAUCUAAAAUAGUUUAAAAUAAAAUAUAUAAAAGAAAGUCUUAAAUAAUAAAAAAGACAGUUUAAAAAUAUAUAAAAAUAGUGUUAAAAGGAUCAAGGGUGCAAUUGAAAUCAUAAUAAAACAAAGGGAUAAAUAUAAAAAAACAAAGAGGAAAAAGGGACCAAUUCGCCACGCGCUGAAAGUAUCAGGGAGCGAAGAAGAAAAUAUCCUAAACCCCUUAGACGCGGCAUUUCAAGGCAAGUGAUCGCGCAUAGUCAGAGGACCUGCUUGAAGCGGAGACAAAACUCGCGGGCCAAAUCGAAAGAAAAAAAAUGGUCAGAUUGCAUCUCAGCGACGAAUGGAGGGACCAAACGCGCAAAUUACCCAUUAGGGUAAGAAUGCGCAGGUCUUCCCCUCAAAUGGCGCCUUUUUAUUUGGUGCAUUUAAGAAAAAUUCUCAUUCUUGCCUCUGUUUUCUUUUUCCUUUUUUAGUUUCAAAAUCAUUCCCUUUUUUUCAAACACCGACCCUUGGGUUUCUUAGCCUCCAGUGCACCGCCGCCGCAGCCAUGAAGACCGGUGGCCGACGACGGAGAAAAAGAGGUCAAAGACCUCGGCCUUAGAAUACCCCGAGGGCUGAACCCUUCAACCUUAAAAAAGAAAAGAGGAAGAUUCUCAGCACCCUCUAGAUCCGGCGGUCGCAAAGGAGGAGAACCCUCCGUGAGCCGGAUCCCGGCGCUUCCUCGGUGUCAGACGCGUGGACGACCGGUGGUAGGCGAGCCUUGGGCGGCGGCGGCGUGUGAGGAGCUGGAGCGGCGCACCUGGCAGAGGUGUGCAUGCGGCUAGGGCUAGGUUUUUUUGCUGAAACAAAUUUUAAUUUACUGGGCUUUGGGCUGUAAUUUUUGGGUUAUUUUCAUUUGUUUUGGGUCUUUAGGCCUAGGUCAAAAUUGACCUGUUACAGCUGUUUCUCUUUCCUCAUUGUCGUGUAACGAGAAUGAAGCAAAGACUUUUGACGGGUCAAUUUUGUUAUAACUAUUUAAUAGAACUGGUGGGUAAGAAUACAAAUAAACUUAUAAAAAUUAACCAACGCCACUUUUUUAUAUUAAUGAAAAUAGUACACUGAACAUUAGGAAAAGUAUCAUAUUCUAUAAAAACUUCUGCAAUAGUUCUUGAUAAAACAACCUUUGAAUAUUUGAAGAUGAAGGAGAAUGGAUAAAUGCUUUGUUUUUGGGUUUUAGCAUAUAAAAUGAAAUUCCUCUCUUAUCUAUACGAAUUCUAAUGUCUACUUAUAAAAAUAUAACUAUUUAAUAGAUGUUUAUUUGUUAAAAAUAAAUACAAUUGUUCAUUAUUUAUUACUAAAAUAAUCCUAAUUUUUUUUAUUAAUAAUCAAGUAACUGCAUCACUUUUGAAUAAACAACUUUUAUUAGUAACCAAGUCAACUUUUAAUUACUUACAAAUUUUCAUUUACUACUAUAUUGGAACACUAUAGUGAAAAAUAUGCAUGGAUCUUACCAUAUCUGUUGAUCCAGGUGUAAACAUGUGGCUGCACUCUAGGAAAUAUAUCAUGCUUCAAGGCCAUAGGUUUGCUUAAUGCUUCUUGUCUCAUCUUGGUAGCUUCUUCAUUGUUUCCAUGGAUGAAUUUGUAAGGAGGUCCUUUGAUUCCCUGUGAAUUCAUCAGAUGCUGUAGACGGAGAGGUACCCACAGGUAAUCAUAAAGGAACUUUAUUAAAGCUACGAGGAAGAAACAACAUGGGACAAGAAUUACAAGCUCCAUCAAGCCACUCAUUUUGCUUGUCUUAAUUCUGAACUCAGAUGCUCCUUGUAGUCUCAAUAACAGAUGCUCCUUGUAAUUUAAGGGGUUUUUUUAAUAAUCGGUAGUUAUCAUCACAAUAA